rnacentral:rRNA from 1 species
UACGUAGGGUGCAAGCGUUGUCCGGAAUUAUUGGGCGUAAAGAGCUCGUAGGCGGCUUGUCACGUCGACUGUGAAAACCCGGGGCUCAACUCCGGGCCUGCAGUCGAUACGGGCUGGCUUGAGUGCGGUAGGGGAGACUGGAAUUCCUGGUGUAGCGGUGAAAUGCGCAGAUAUCAGGAGGAACACCGAUGGCGAAGGCAGGUCCCUGGGCCAUAACUGACGCUGAGAAGCGAAAGCAUGGGGAGCGAACAGG